UGGAACGCACAUCGACAAAAAAGUGUUUCAUAAUCGUCAACAUUUGAUCAAGAAUUGUGUUGUGAGAUCAAGGAUUCUUUGUAAUUCGCUCUGAUCUCGCUAAAACUUUAUAGAAGGGAGUCCUUAGACUUUAUACUUCAAGAUGGUAUGAAUUUCGUGUGUACUUGUGCCUUUGGCUUUGUUCAUAUGGCACAAGUUUAUUCAACCUCUGAUCGAUAGAUGGUAUGGGAAGACGCCGAGUAAAAUGAUUACUGCAGAAAGUAAAGAAAAUGAUAAACAAAGUAAAAAUCCUGAAGAAAUGCCAGACAAAACUGCUAAUGGUAUACCUGUAGCUGCUAAUGGUGGUAUUAAGAGUGAUUGACAAGGAGGUUUCUGCCGACGACGAUGACACUGUUCCCCUGUCCUGUAUAAUAAUACUGUAUGAAGACUUUUGGUGAAAUCUUGUGCUGUCAAAGAGUGCCAAGAGUUGGAUGUGUAAUAUUAUUUGCAACAGUGAAACCAGAAGUCAAAGGAAUGUUGUGCAGAAUUUUGAUCCUAAUUUAUCACUAUUAUUAUAUUAUAUCAUUUGAAAUUGUACAUAACAAGGCUUUAUACAAUACUCCAAAUAGUAUGAGAAAAUAUCUACAUAAUUGAUGAAGUUCAUGAAAGAUAUGUACCAAACACACUUAAAUAAUUUACAUGUAAUGCUAACAAAAAACUUUGCUCAUAAAUUAUCUUUUAAUUGUUAUUAUUUCCUUUUUAUUGUGAGGAUUGAAAAAUAAUAAAAGUUUACUGUAAAAAUGUGUAGACUAU